rnacentral:rRNA from 1 species
AUUGAACGCUGGCGGCAUGCUUUACACAUGCAAGUCGAACGGCAGCGCGGGCUUCGGCCUGGCGGCGAGUGGCGAACGGGUGAGUAAUGCAUCGGAACGUGCCCAGUAGUGGGGGAUAGCCCGGCGAAAGCCGGAUUAAUACCGCAUACGACCUGAGGGUGAAAGCGGGGGACCGAAAGGCCUCGCGCUAUUGGAGCGGCCGAUGUCGGAUUAGCUAGUUGGUGGGGUAAAGGCUUACCAAGGCGACGAUCCGUAGCUGGUCUGAGAGGACGACCAGCCACACUGGGACUGAGACACGGCCCAGACUCCUACGGGAGGCAGCAGUGGGGAAUUUUGGACAAUGGGGGCAACCCUGAUCCAGCCAUGCCGCGUGCGGGAAGAAGGCCUUCGGGUUGUAAACCGCUUUUGUUCGGGAAGAAAUUCUCUGGGCUAAUACCCCGGGGGGAUGACGGUACCGGAAGAAUAAGCACCGGCUAACUACGU